UCCCAUCAUCUCUCUCAAGACCCCAACCCUACAACCGCCACCUCAAAGCUCCUGAGCCUCCACCAGGUGGUGGUUGACCUCCAAACCCCCUCAAAACUUGACCACAUGACCACCGCUACACCUCUAUUCCAAAUCCACCCCUCUUUACUCAUCCAAACCACUUAUCCUCUUCGAACCAGAGAUCGAAGUUGGCGUUGAGUUCUUCUUCGUCUUCUUCUUUUGAACUCCGCUCAACUCAGCUUUUUCUUGGCACUUAACUUGCGUGAAUCGACCCGCUUCGAAUGAAGGCCAAAUAGAUGAAAGGUCAAUUGUGCACGAGGAGUGAAGUUUGAUCAUAAGUCUCCGAUAGGUUUCAAACUCUGAUUUGGUAAGUCUUAACUCUUCUCUUGUGUUUUCCUUCUUCCAUUGUUCAAUUAUCCUCAUCCGCCCUUUUUUUCAUGCUAGUUAAAAUUUGUUUAGACCGUCUGAGUUCGAGGUGUGUUAUGUCAUUGGUCUUGUUUUAUUUUUUUUCUUUUUCUUCUUCUUUGAGAAACGCCUGGUCCUUUGAUUUCUUUAGUCUGUCCCUCAGUUCUGUUUUGUUUGUUUAAUUCCUUGGUGUUAAUGGCAUAAUUACUGUUUUUUGUUUUAUUAUCUGUUUAAUCACAUAGCUAGUGUAAUUAAGUCUUAACUCAGUUGAGUUCCUGCAGUGUGUCUAGGGUAGUCAGUUCAUCCACUUUAUUUUGUUUUGAUUGCAUUUUAAGUGUUCAAGUUCUUUUUUCUUUUGGGAAUUUUGAGUCAUAACUUAAAUUGAGAAUCCCGGUUUGCCUAUAAUUGAUUUCUGAAAAUCAAAAGCCCAAUUCGACUCUAAUUUGUGUUUAUAGACCUAUACCAUAUGGGUUGGGCCAGUUUGACCUAUAGUUGGAAGGGUAAUUAGCAAGGGUGUUAGGCGUAUUUUAGGUAAGUACUAGGGAAUUUUAGUGUAACUAACUAAGGAAGCUUCUAGGAAGCUAGGGUGGGGACUGUUUUGAAAUCCAAAAAUUAAACUGGGGUAUCUAGGUUAAAACAAAAAUAUUGAAUGGGGCAACAAGAAAAAUCUGAAAUCCUUAUUGCUGUCCUAAUUCUUUUAUAUAAAAAAACCCAAUUACAACAUUAGAAAGGGGGUUCGAAAAAAAACUUAAAAAACGGCUGGAAAAUCUUCAAUAGGAUUUCUCGGUUUGAUUGGUUUCUAGUUUCUUUCUUAAGGGUUUUCUUUUCUGGGGUUAUCUUUGAUUCAUACAGUGUUGAAUCUGGUUUAAUUUGGGGUUUUGAACGCUGAUUAUGAGUUGAAUUUGGGGUUGGAGUCCUGGUUUCUAGUUUUCGUAGCUCCUCUUAUUUAUCUGAAGUUCCUGAAAGAUCAAGUACCCAUCCUGUUGAAGAUAGGCUGGUUUUAGGUUUUUAUACUAAUUUUUUGAACUGUAAGACGCUACUGUUCAAUGUUGCUACUAACAUUGUUCUACUACUGUUGAUUUCUCCUUCUUCUUAUUUUUGUUGUUUUCAGGUAUUUCUUUGGCUUUUAAGUGACGUGUGAAGCAGAAAAUAUGAAAUCAAGCUUGAAGAAAUGAUAAUUGCUACACGUUUCUCUGUUAAUUUUCUUCAUGUGGUCUUUAGUUUAGGUGUCCAGUGUAUUUGUUUAUGUCAUUAAUGUUGUAUUUCAU
rnacentral:lncRNA from 1 species